rnacentral:sRNA from 1 species
AUCCCAUUGAGGAGGACGAUGAACCAGAUGAUGGAAGUUACUACUGGAGAGUGGAUGAGCCUCCACGCGAGUAUCCUCCUGACUCUCUCUUUCAAUAAACAUUAUGCCUUUGUUUUGUUUAAGUUUGUAAGAUAAAUCUAAAUCU